rnacentral:misc_RNA from 1 species
CAACCCUCAAGUGCUUUAGUACUUGGUGUUGGGGCUUCUGCUGCUCGCAGCAGGCUCUGAAAGAUAGUGGCGAGGUCGCCGUGACCCUGAGCGUAGUAGUUUACACCUCGCUUCUGUGGCUACGGCGGAUUCUCAGCCGUGAAACCCCUAAUUUUCACAA